UACGGAGGGUGCGAGCGUUGUCCGGAAUCACUGGGCUUAAAGGGCGCGUAGGCGGGCUGUCAAGUCUGGGGUGAAAUCCCGCGGCUCAACCGUGGAACUGCCUCAGAUACUGACGGCCUCGAGGGAGGUAGGGGCGAGCGGAACUGUGAGUGGAGCGGUGAAAUGCGUUGAUAUUCACAGGAACUCCGGUGGCGAAGGCGGCUCGCUGGACCUUUUCUGACGCUGAGGCGCGAAAGCUAGGGGAGCAAACGGG
rnacentral:rRNA from 1 species